rnacentral:rRNA from 1 species
UACGUAGGGUGCAAGCGUUGUCCGGAAUUAUUGGGCGUAAAGAGCUCGUAGGCGGUCUGUUACGUCGGCUGUGAAAACCUGGGGCUCAACCCCGGGCCUGCAACCGAUACGGGCAGACUAGAAUUCGGUAGGGGAGACUGGAAUUCCAGGUGUAGCGGUGAAAUGCGUAGAUAUCUGGAGGAACACCCGUGGUGCAGACGGCUUGCUGGACCAUGACUGACGCUGAGGCACGAAAGCGUGGGUAGCAAACAGG